rnacentral:lncRNA from 1 species
UUUAUAUAAGAGAUGACGUGCUCCUCCUUGCCUUCCACCAUGAUUGUGAGGCCUCCCCAGCCCUGCGGAACUGGCUUCCACAACAAGUUACCAAACCCUGGGUGGCUUAAAACAACAGGAUUUCAGGUUCUCGUCAUCUGGAGGUCUGAAGUCUGGAGUCAAGGAAUCAGCACGGCUCUGCUCACUCCGAAGGCUCCAGGAGAGAACCUUUCUUUGCUUCUUCCAGCAUCUGGUGGCUGCAGGCAUUCCCUGGAUUGUGGCAAAGUGUGUGGUGCAACAGCAGAGUGGAAAGAGAAUGUGUGGAUCAGACAUACCUGGGUGGAAACUGACUUUACCAACGACUGGCUGGCUGCAAGACCUUGGCGAUUAUCCUUAACCUAGCCUCAGUCUCAACCUGUGACACGGCAAUGGCAGCUUAGAGAGGUUAAGCUACUUGAGUCACACCCGUGUCAGGUGGAGGAGCUGAACCUUGGAUGCAGGAGUAUCCGUUUCUACUGUCUCAACUCUUCCUAACUGCUUUGGAAUGACAGAAUGAGGAAAUGCACCCAACGUGAAUUUUGCGUUCACCAUUACCUGCAAAAUGUCAGUGGCUAAUGCCAGCUUUGGCUGACUGUCCUGAUAUCCAGAGCAAUGGUUCCUAAAUUUUGGUCCACGGUCCAGUGCCAGCUUAGGACCAAGGAUUCACAGUCUUUGAUGU